rnacentral:rRNA from 1 species
AUUGAACGCUGGCGGCAGGCCUAACACAUGCAAGUCGAACGAGCGGCGGACGGGUGAGUAAUGUCUGGGGAUCUGCCUGAUAGAGGGGGCUAACUACUGGAAACGGUGGCUAAUACCGCAUACUAUCGGAUGUACCCAUAUGGGAUUAGCUAGUAGGUGGGGUAAAGGCUCACCUAGGAGACGAUCUCUAGCUGGGCUGAGAGGAUGAUCAGCCACACUGGGACUGAGACACGGCCCAGAUUCCUACGGGAGGCAGCAGUGGGGAAUAUUGCACAAUGGGCGCAAGCCUGAUGCAGCCAUGCCGCGUGUAUGAAGAAGGCCUUAGGGUUGUAAAGUACUUUCAGCGGGGAGGCGUUACCCGCAGAAGAAGCACCGGCUAACUCCGUGCCAGCAGCCGCGGUAAUUC